UGUUUAGAUCUUUGCCAUCAGAACAGACUUUGCAAUCCGAGAGAUUCCUCAGGAAUUCUUAGCCGUCUUUCUAUCUCAUAUCUAUGUCAUGGAUCACCUUGAAAACCCUUUCUGGAAUUUAUUUUCAGUGCUGUAAGAAAAACCAUGAUAAAGACACACGCUGAGAAAGUCUUUGUGAUACCUUCAGCAAGCACAUGUAGUGGAGCAGAUGGUGGCCCUUAUUGGGUGAGUAAUUCAAGACAUUGACUUAUAUCUGGGGGCCCAUGAGCAAAUGGAAAGGCAAAAUGGUGUGUGUGCACAUGGACAUAUGUGUGAGUGUGUGUGGUUUCGGUAUGUCAGAGAGGGUGGGCGUACUACUUAGAUGUAUAGCGGAAAAUGAAAGAGUUAAAUGAA